rnacentral:misc_RNA from 1 species
AACUCAUCUUCCUCGAGAAUUUCUUCAUAAAUAUUUUCCUCCAUAUUUGUCAGUGAAGUUGGGAUCAUAGGUGAGAUAUUCCAAUCCAGGGUGAGAUGCAAAAUUUAAUCGCAGUAGGAAGAAAUAUACCAGGUAAACCUUAGCAAAAAGCCUGGAAAUGGAAAUACUUAACCAACACGGAUGGAACAACAAUUAGAAAACUUAAGUAAAAAUUAGUCAACAAGAUAGAUAGAUAGAUAAUAAAAGAGGAAAGGUCUAAAAGGAAGCACAUCAUCUCAGAUGGAAACAGUAGAGGAUCUUAAAUGGAAAAGGGACG